rnacentral:rRNA from 1 species
UUUUGUUGCCAGACCUCGAUGCCAAUAUCUGAUCUCCUCUGAUCUUGGAAGCUGAGCAUUGUUGGGCUUUCUUAGCACUUGGAUGAGAGACCUUUGGGAAUGACAGGUGCCACAGUGG